CAGCACCUCAAGUGGUCAGGAUGAUUAUUGGGCCUAAAGCAUCCGUAGCCGGCGCUGUAAGUUUUCGGUUAAAUCUGUACGCUCAACGUACAGGCUGCCGGGAAUACUGCAGAGCUAGGGAGUGGGAGAGGUAGACGGUACUCGGUAGGAAGGGGUAAAAUCCUUUGAUCUAUUGAUGACCACCUGUGGCGAAGGCGGUCUACCAGAACACGUCCGACGGUGAGGGAUGAAAGCUGAGGGAGCAAACCGGAUUAGAUACCCGAGUAGUCC
rnacentral:rRNA from 1 species